GAUGAACGCUGGCGGCGUGCCUAACACAUGCAAGUCGAGCGAAGCACUUUGCUUAGAUUCUUCGGAUGAAGAGGAUUGUGACUGAGCGGCGGACGGGUGAGUAACGCGUGGGUAACCUGCCUCAUACAGGGGGAUAACAGUUAGACAUGACCGCUAAUACCGCAUAAGACCACAGCACCGCAUGGUGCGGGGGUAAAAACUCCGGUGGUAUGAGAUGGACCCGCGUCUGAUUAGCUAGUUGGUAAGGUAACGGCUUACCAAGGCGACGAUCAGUAGCCGACCUGAGAGGGUGACCGGCCACAUUGGGACUGAGACACGGCCCAAACUCCUACGGGAGGCAGCAGUGGGGAAUAUUGCACAAUGGGGGAAACCCUGAUGCAGCGACGCCGCGUGAGCGAAGAAGUAUUUCGGUAUGUAAAGCUCUACCAGCAGGGAAGAAAAUGACGGUACCUGACUAAGAAGCACCGGCUAAAUACGUGCCAGCAGCCGCGGUAAUACGUAUGGUGCAAGCGUUAUCCGGAUUUACUGGGUGUAAAGGGAGCGUAGACGGAUGGGCAAGUCUGAUGUGAAAACCCGGGGCUCAACCCCGGGACUGCAUUGGAAACUGUUCAUCUAGAGUGCUGGAGAGGUAAGUGGAAUUCCUAGUGUAGCGGUGAAAUGCGUAGAUAUUAGGAGGAACACCAGUGGCGAAGGCGGCUUACUGGACAGUAACUGACGUUGAGGCUCGAAAGCGUGGGGAGCAAACAGG
rnacentral:rRNA from 1 species